rnacentral:rRNA from 1 species
ACGGAAGGCAGCAGUGGGGAAUAUUGCACAAUGGGGGAAACCCUGAUGCAGCAACGCCGCGUGAGUGAUGACGGCCUUCGGGUUGUAAAGCUCUGUUUCCAGGGACGAUAAUGACGGUACCUGGGGAGGAAGCCACGGCUAACUACGUGCCAGCAGCCGCGGUAAUACGUAGGUGGCAAGCGUUGUCCGGAUUUACUGGGCGUAAAGGGAGCGUAGGCGGAUUUUUAAGUGGGAUGUGAAAUACCCGGGCUCAACUUGGGUGCUGCAUUCCAAACUGGAAAUCUAGAGUGUCGGAGAGGAAAGCAGAAUUCCUAGUGUAGCGGUGAAAUGCGUAGAGAUUAGGAAGAAUACCAGUGGCGAAGGCGGCUUUCUGGACGAUAACUGACGCUGAGGCUCGAAAGCGUGGGGAGCAAACAGGAUUAGAUACCCUGGUA